rnacentral:ncRNA from 1 species
UUACUUCCGUUAAUUAUUAAGCGGCUUUAUUCAGAAAUGAAUAUCGAAUAACCUCUCUAAUUCAUGGGAACUCCUAACGUAAAGACGAGGACAAUCAUGAGCGAAGCCUAGCAAUAGGAACGUGCAACGACUAUCGAAAAUACACUAGACACUCAAUUAAUUGGGUGUCUUUUUUAGUGGAAAUGAGUAGAGUACAUUCAAGUGAAUGGAAAUGGGAGGCAACCUAUUAGGUUGAUGAUAUAGUCUAGUCGUCUAUGGAAACAUAGAG